rnacentral:rRNA from 1 species
AAAACAUCUCCUUUUGAUUUUUAUUUAAGGUUUAAUCUGCUCAAUGAAUAUUAAAUUGCCGCGGUAUUUUGACCGUGCAAAGGUAGCAUAAUAAUUAGUUUCUUGAUUAGAAGCUUGAAUGAAUGAUUGGACGAGAAAAUUACUGUCUCUUUUUAAUUUGUUUUUGAAUUUUAUUUUUAAGUAAAAAAGCUUAAAUUUUAAUAAAAGACGAGAAGACCCUAUAGAGUUUUAUAUUUAAGGUUUAUUUAGUAUUAGGAAUUUUUUUAAAUUUUACUUAUUUAGUUGGGGUGACUGGAGGAUUAAGAUAAUUCCUCUUUUUGUUAAUUGAUGAUUGUUAAAUUGGUUAUCUGAUUUUUUCAAAUAAAAAAAUAAAUUACCUUAGGGAUAACAGCGUAAUUUUUCUUUAGAGUUCUUAUUGAAAGAAGAUUUUGCGACCUCGAUGUUGGAUUAAAAUAAAUUUUUGGUGCAGAAGCUAAAAAAUUGGGUCUGUUCGACCUUUGAUAUUUUACAUGAUCUGANNUCCAGACCGGA